GAUGAAGAACGCAGCGAAAUGCGAUAAGUAAUGUGAAUUGCAGAAUUCAGUGAAUCAUCGAAUCUUUGAACGCACCUUGCGCUCCUUGGUAUUCCGAGGAGCAUGCCUGUUUGAGUGUCAUUAAUAUAUCAACCUCUUCAAAUUUGUUUGAUGAGUUGUUGGAUAUGGGGGUUUGUUUUGCUGGCCUUCUUCUGAAAGGUCAGCUCCCCUGAAAUGCAUUAGCGGAACAAUUUGUGAAUCGUUCAUUGGUGUGAUAACUAUCUACGCUAUUGACGUGAAGCAAGUUCAGCUUCUAAUGGUCCAUUAACUUGGACAAAUUAUCAUUUAAUCUGACCUCAAAUCAGGUAGGACUACCCGCUGAACUUAAGCAUAUCAAUAAGCGGAGGA
rnacentral:misc_RNA from 1 species